UUCAUUAUGGUAAUUUACUCUGUACUAUCAUGAGCACCUAACACAAAUAUAUAUAUAUAUAUAUUUGUGUUAGGUGCUCAUGAUAGUACAGAGUAAAAUACCAUAAUGAA